UUUUUAGUUCUGUAUUUGAAGAUUCUUCCAUGGGAAUGCAGCUUUUGAGGAGUUGAGAGGAUACCCUUGCAAACUGCCAUCAACAUAAUAGUUUGAUUAUAAGCACGAUAGUUAUGGCAAUGAUAUCAAUGAUGGUGUUCAAUUUGGUACUUUAAAGAGUCAUAGUAUUCUAUAGUCACAUUUACCAAAAUGCAUGCAUAUUGCUUAUAUCACUUACAAGUCCUGUUAUGUAUCUAUGAAAAUUUUCUGAUUACUAUUGAUUCACAACAUUGUUCACAAUAGUAUUUUCUAUAGUCCUUACUGGUGGCCUAUGGACGUUUGGAUUUUGAUGAGCUACAUUGUCUCCCAGUGUCCAGUUAGCAACAAUCGAAUACUAUAUAUUUCUAUUAGUUAUCUUCUAGUGUGUGUGUGUGUGUGUGUAUACAAAGCCGUUCGAGAGCGGACAUCCGCACCAGCCUUAAAGUGCGGACGUCCCUCCGUUCUCCACCGGAGGGCUCCGACGACGGCGUGCCUCCACCCGAGCGGACUCCAACAGCGUCCCUGAUCACUUUGCCUCCCCGGAAAAUGAUCGGGGACGUUGUUGGAGAUCACUCGGGUGGAGGCGCACCGUCGUUGGAGCCCUCCGGUGGAGAACGGAGGGACGUCUGCACUUUAAGGCUGGUGCGGACGUGCGCCUUUGAUCGGGCCUGUAUAUAUAUAUAUACAGUCUGUCUCAGCUGCGGACGUUCGCACCAAUGGUUUUGGUGCGGAUUUUCAUUUUUGCACCACUUUUUGAUCGAAUUUCCUCAUCUCCACCGUCUAGUAUCUAGAUAAUAUUGUGUAGAUCAUCUCUGCAAAAUUUCAGCCAAUUUUGUAAUCGUUAAGGCCCUCAAAAUUGUGUUUUUCUGGUAUAAACAAGAACCGGACAGAAUUCAGUCCGUCCAUUUGUUUUUCUAGUUUAAGGGCCUUAAUGAUUACCAAAUUGGCUUGAAAUUUUGCAGAGAUGAUCUACACAAUAUUAUCUAGAUACUAGACGGUGGAGAUGAGGAAAUUCGAUCGAAAAGUGGUGAAAAAAUGAAAAUCCGCACCAAACC
rnacentral:lncRNA from 1 species